AUACUUUUCUCGACCUUUUGGGUAAGAUCAAUUGAAGGAUUGGUCUUAUCUGUUUAAUGUCUGAUAUGUGGGCCAUCAACUCACACGAUAUUAACUUCAUUUUUUGAGGGGGAAGGUCUAUCAAACUAGCUUGCUAUUUAGGUCCUCAAGCGUUGCCCAUGUGUACUGUUCGGGUCUGGCGCACCUCAC